UACGUAGGGGGCAAGCGUUGUCCGGAUUUAUUGGGCGUAAAGAGCUCGUAGGCGGCUCGGUAAGUCGGGUGUGAAACCUCCAGGCUCAACCUGGAGACGCCACUCGAUACUGCCGUGGCUAGAGUCCGGUAGAGGAGCGUAGAAUUCCUGGUGUAGCGGUGAAAUGCGCAGAUAUCAGGAGGAAUACCAGCGGCGAAGGCGGCGCUCUGGGCCGGUACUGACGCUGAGGAGCGAAAGCCAGGGGAGCGAACGGG
rnacentral:rRNA from 1 species